CGGGGUGUAGCGCAGCCUGGUAGCGCGUUCGCUUUGGGAGCGAAAGGUCCUGAGUUCGAAUCUCAGCACCCCGA
rnacentral:tRNA from 1 species